UCACAAACACCAAACUAUAGUUCAACAAGUGACCUUAGUCACAAAGAUAUCCCAGAUAAAGUAAACAAAUGAAAUCUCACAUCCCUAUCUAACAAGUGUGCUUAGUCACCAAACUAAUAGUUCAAUAGGUGCUGGCAGCUAGGUCUUCUUGGUGUCAGGAGCAUGAGUGAAUACCUUAGGUUGCUCUAAUUUCUCCAUGUCCCGUAGAAAAUACAUCAGAAACAAACAUCACUCGUUGAAACAAAUGAAAAAGUAAAAGAGGAACUUUACAAACAGCAUACUAAGCUAGGUUUCAGUUUUCAGCUGCAUGAACAAUUACAUCAAGUAUACAGUUAUUUAAGGUGAUAGAGGCCCUGGUUAUUUGUCAUGUCAUUUAAUACAGUGCAACACUAAAUGUAUACUGUUAGGAGGGCAUCUAAUCAGUGAAAGAAACACUAGAAAGCAAUCAAGCAGUUUGCUGUGAUCGGAAAUAAAGAAACAAAGUUUGAUAGUUAUUUACCUGCAAGUGAAAAGCUUCAUUCACUUUCUUUUGUGAAACGAAAAGCUUCAUUCCCUGAAGGUGUUUGGAUCCUUUGCUACCCUGUAUUUACUCACAGGUUGAUGAAUUUCAGCUAGCAACUAAAGGUGUUUGGAUCCUUUGCUACUGCUCGCUUAGCCUAGCCUCCUCGCCUCAUCUCUCUGAGCUGGAACAAAAGCCUCAAAGCAAAUAUAGCAGUAUAACUCUAAAAGUGUUAUGUAGCACUAGCGCACGCGCGCGCACACACACAGGAACAAACGGUUACAUACAAAACAGGCAAGCUAGCAUCUUUAUGUAAAGGCAAGGAUGAUAAAGUGUCUAGGCAAGUCAAUCACUGAUGGGUUUGCAAAAUUGACUGAAUGCUUGACUUUUAGAUCUGUUGGAUUCAAGUUUGUUUUAGGCCUUAGAUAAAUUAAUAUUUGCAAAACAAGACCAACUUCUUUUCUAUACAAAUUUGUGAGUUUUGUCAUGUAGUUCGGCUAGGUGACUGGUCAUAGUUUCUGGUUUCUGAUGAGUAACGUUGUGCUCUUCUAAUUCAGCUAAACAAAAUGCAUUUUACAGGUGGUCUGUAGUUUGCAGAAUUUACUGCAUGUAACGUUGUGCUCUUUUCUAUACAAAAUGCAUUUUACGCCGUCGCUAACUCGCUACCGACGAAUCUCCGCAAAAAGCGCUGAGAGAGAGAGCUGCAAGAGAUGGAGGAGCUGAAAAAUUAGAUCUCACCGGCUCCUUCUCUCUUCUCACGCGGGACAGACGCCGCUGCCCUGGAUCCACACCGGCUCCUACCCUCUUCUCACGCGGGACGGACGCCGCUGCCCUGGAUCCACAUGCUGUGGCUCCUCCUUCCUUCUCACGCGCGUAGCCGACGACGGAGAAGAAGCCCGGCGGCCAGGAACGACACAGAGAGGCGGGGCGGAGGCGAGACGACGCGGGUGGCGGGACGGACCGGAGGAGGCGGAUGCCGCCGUCGCUCGGCGGCGCGACGGGAGGUGUGGAGCGGUGGUGGUAGUCCGAGCGGGAGCGGUGGGGCGACGGCGAAGAAGAGUUCGUGGUGUGCCGCGGGAUACCCGGUCUCCCCAGAGCGACGGCCGAAG
rnacentral:lncRNA from 1 species